CCUGUCUCUGCUUGCCAGGAUGGCUCACCUGAAAAUACCCACACCUAGCUCCAGGUCUCUUGCAGGGGGUGACGAAGUUCCCGCAGACAUAGAUCUACCUGAGCAGGGGGAGACAAAAGAAGAUGAGGAGGUGAAGAAUGACAAGGAGACUCAACAGCAAAGAGUGGAUGAGGAGAGUGCAGCCAGUCUCCAGCCUGCAGAAUGCCAAGAGAGUCAGAUACAGACACAGAUGGAGGCA